AUGCUUGCUUCAGCAGCAUGUAUACUAAAAUUGGAAGGAUACAGAGAAGAUUAGCACAGCCUCUGCAUAAGGAUGACAUGCAAAUUCGUGGAUCAUUUCUUAAAAAU
ensembl:snRNA U6 U6 spliceosomal RNA